rnacentral:piRNA from 1 species
UGCCAAAUCCCUUUGAAGUUCCUCCCAGC